UACGUAGGGUGCAAGCGUUAUCCGGAUUUACUGGGUUUAAAGGGUGUGUAGGCGGGCUUUUAAGUCAGUGGUGAAAUCUCCGGGCUCAACCUGGAAACUGCCAUUGAUACUAUUAGUCUUGAAUUCUGUUGAGGUAGGCGGAAUAAGUCAUGUAGCGGUGAAAUGCAUAGAUAUGACUUAGAACACCAAUUGCGAAGGCAGCUUACUAAGCAGAUAUUGACGCUGAGGCACGAAAGCGUGGGGAUCAAACAGG
rnacentral:rRNA from 1 species